rnacentral:rRNA from 1 species
GAUGAACGCUGACAGAAUGCUUAACACAUGCAAGUCUACUUGAUUCUACUUCGGUAGUUGAUGGUGGCGGACGGGUGAGUAACGCGUAAAGAAUCUGCCCUUUAGUUUGGGAUAACCUUUGGAAACGAAGGCUAAUACCGGAUAUUAUGGAGACGUCGCAUGGCGACUCCAUGAAAGCUAUAUGCGCUAGAGGAGGACUUUGCGUCCCAUUAGUUAGUUGGUGAGGUAAUGGCUCACCAAGACCGCGAUGGGUAGCCGGCCUGAGAGGGUGAUCGGCCACAAGGGAACCGAGACACGGUCCUUACUCCUACGGGAGGCAGCAGUGGGGAAUAUUGGACAAUGGGCCACAAGCCUGAUCCAGCAAUUCUGUGUGAACGAUGAAGAUCUUCGGAUUGUAAAGUGCUUUCAGUAGGGAAGAAAAAAAUGACGGUACCUACAGAAGAAGCGACGGCUAAAUAUGUGCCAGCCGCCGCCGUAAGAC